rnacentral:rRNA from 1 species
ACGCUGGCGGCACGCCUAACACAUGCAAGUCGAACGAAGUAGCAAUACUUAGUGGCAGACGGGUGAGUAACAUGUAGGUAUCUGCCCUUUGGCCUGGAAUAACACGAGGAAACUUGUGCUAAUACCGGAUAAGUCUUUACGGAGAAAGCUUUAUGCACCAUUGGAUGAGCCUGCACUUGAUUAGUUUGUUGGUGGGGUAAUGGCCUACCAAGACUGUGAUCAAUAGCUGAUUUGAGAGGAUGAUCAGCCACAUUGGGACUGAGACACGGCCCAAACUCCUACGGGAGGCAGCAGUGGGGAAUCUUGCACAAUGGAGGAAACUCUGAUGCAGCGAUGCCGCGUGAGUGAAGAAGGCCUUUGGGUUGUAAAGCUCUUUCGUCGGGGAAGAAAAUGACUGUACCCGAAUAAGAAGGUCCGGCUAACUUCGUGCCAGCAGCCGCGGUAAUACGAAGGGACCUAGCGUAGUUCGGAAUUACUGGGCUUAAAGAGUUCGUAGGUGGUUGAAAAAGUUAGUGGUGAAAUCCCAGAGCUUAACUCUGGAACUGCCAUUAAAACUUUUCAGCUAGAGUAUGAUAGAGGAAAGCAGAAUUUCUAGUGUAGAGGUGAAAUUCGUAGAUAUUAGAAAGAAUACCAAUUGCGAAAGGCAGCUUUCUGGAUCAUUACUGACACUGAGGAACGAAAGCAUGGGUAGCGAAGAGGAUUAGAUACCCUCGUAGUCCAUGCCGUAAACGAUGUGUGUUAGACGUUGGAAAUUUAUUUUCAGUGUCGCAGCGAAAGCGAUAAACACACCGCCUGGGGAGUACGACCGCAAGGUUAAAACUCAAAUGAAUUGACGGGGACCCGCACAAGUAGUGGAGCAUGUGGUUUAAUUCGAAGAUACGCGCAGAACCUUACCAACACUUGACAUGUUCGUCGCGACUCUAAGAGAUUAGAGUUUUCGGUUCGGCCGGACGAAACACAGGUGCUGCAUGGCUGUCGUCAGCUCGUGUCGUGAGAUGUUGGGUUAAGUCCCGCAACGAGCGCAACCCUCACUUUUAGUUGCCAUCAUUAAGUUGGGCACUCUGAAAGAACUGCCAGUGAUAAGCUGGAGGAAGGUGGGGAUGACGUCAAGUCCUCAUGGCCCUUACGUGUUGGGCUACACACGUGCUACAAUGGUAUUUACAACAGGAAGCAAGACUGCGAAGUUAAGCAAAUCCCUAAAAGAUACCUCAGUUCGGAUUGCACUCUGCAACUCGAGUGCAUGAAGCUGGAAUUACUAGUAAUCGUGGAUCAGCGUGCCACGGUGAAUGCGUUCCCGGGUCUUGUACACACCGCC